UACAUUAGAUACCCGCGUAGUCCUAGCCGUAAACGAUACUCGCUAGGUGUCGGCCACGGUGCGACCGUUGUCGGUGCCGUAGGGAAGCCGUGAAGCGAGCCACCUGGGAAGUACGGCCGCAAGGCUGAAACUUAAAGGAAUUGGCGGGGGAGCACAACAACGGGUGGAGCUUGCGGUUUAAUUGGAUUCAACGCCGGAAAUCUUACCGGGACCGACAGCAACAUGAAGGCCAGGCUGAAGACUUUGCCGGAUUAGCUG
rnacentral:rRNA from 1 species